UUUACCUAUUUUGUGUUUGCCCGUUUAUGUGGCUGCCUCUUACAUUUGUUCAGUUGUUAUGUUUUAUUGCCCUGUUCUUUUGGGUCUGGUUUGAUUGGGAAUGGGAUUUAUUUUAUGUCCAGCUAGCUAGAUUAGUUGGGGGUGGAUGUCUUGGGUGUAAUGCUAUCUCCUAGUGCAAGGCAGUCAGGAUGUACCCAUUCAGUGAACUAAAACUGUUUAUACUCUCUUUCC